CUAUGCUUCCGCCAGCGGUCCCCUCAUUGGGGCCCUAGCUCCAGUGGGAGUCAGGCUUCAUUGCUCUGAAUGCCACUGGCGCCCUGUCUCGGUGAAGCUUUGCUGAUCCGUGCCUGGGGCCCCGGCAAUCCUUUGGAUUCCGGAGGGGUGUCCCACCACCUCGAUCCCGUCCCUCGAGGAACGACUCGAUGA
rnacentral:ncRNA from 1 species